GGAAUUGUGAAAAACUGAGUUUAAAUGUAUUUGGCUCAGGUGUAUAUAAACUUCCUACUUCAACUGUAUGUGAAAGAGGCUUGGUUGUACCAACAACAAUGAUCUCAAUACAGGAGCUCAUCAUGGGACCAAGCAUGGGUUCAAGGUAUACACCAUUGCUCUAUUUUUUUUUCAUUUGAAUUUGUGAAGCAAAUUGAGAGACGAGAAACACAUUUUACUCUUUGGUGAGUGUCUGACAGUGUACGGAAAGAAUAGCCUAUACAAAACAUAUUUGUACUGUGUUUUUCUACAAAAUGUUCGAGAUUGUUUAAUUUCUUAACUUUUUCAUGGAGUUGAUUUUGAAUAUCACAGUUAAAACACCCUUACUUCUGGAAUAUUUAAAGUGYACUGGGCUGUUCGUGUCUCUAACAUUCCUGUACUGCUUUUAAGUAUGUUAAGUAUGAAAGGAUGUUUCACCUAACAUUCGGUUAUGAUGACCAUUAACUACAUUUCAAUGCCUGUGUCCAUUUCAAACAGUCCCUAGACAAACAUGUAGCUUAAAGCCUAUGGCGUUGGAAUGGGCUUUUAACUGGGAGCAUAGAUCCUGGUUCAGGCCCUAACAGCGUUAUUUGGGGAGAAUGUAGGUGGAUCUUUUCCCAUUCUCCUGUUCCUGUCUGUGUUGCCGCUGGAUUGGCAGGUGUCAGUGUUUUUGUAUAUUUUAGUACAUACAAAUUUAAUAAAAAACUCUACUUCUUUUACAUGCC